CAGAGACAGGAGGGGGCAACCAACCGCUUUUAGAGUGAGUCAGACCUACCUGGCUGUUGUCAGGUAACUGUGGGGGUGGAGUUUAGACAGCAUGCUAACAGGAAGAAACUUAGAAAAAGAGUAAGGAAACCUGACAACUCAGUAGUUUUCAGACAAGGCUACCUCUUGGAGAUAUUCUCAGACUUAGAAUGGAAAAGCCAUAAGUGAAAUUUCUUAUGCAGCAUCAAAUAUGAAAACUAGAGAAGAAAAUAAUAUAAUUGCCAAUACAAAAAUACUCAAGGGGAGAGUCCAUGAAUGUGCUUUGAUGUCCAAGGGAAGAUCUCAGAGUACCUGUGGGAGUUGUUUCUCUUCUUCCAUCAUGUGAUCUAUGUUGGGUUCCCUGCAAAUUAUAUAAUUUUGUAAACUUGUGCUGGCAGAGAAAUGAUCCAUAAAAGGUAAGAAGAAAAGACAGUUCAGCACAAUUUAGUUAGCUAAGUUGGCACAAACUUACUCUGACCUUCAGUGGAUAGUUUUUGAGAUGUUUGAGCACAGUACAACUUUGGAAACAAGUUUCUUAAGACAAUUAUCACAACAAAGUUUCAGGCAUGACUGCCUUGAAAUUCCUUUGUAUAGUACAAGUCUUUUGCACAAUGUCUGUG
rnacentral:lncRNA from 1 species